rnacentral:rRNA from 1 species
UCUGCAACUCGACUACAUGAAGCUGGAAUCGCUAGUAAUCGCAAAUCAGAAUGUUGCGGUGAAUACGUUCCCGGGUCUUGUACACACCGCCCGUCACACCAUGGGAGUCGGAAAUGCCCGAAGUCUGUGACCCAACGAAAGAGGGAGCAGCCGAAGGCAGGUCUGAUAACUGGGGUGAAGUCGUAACAAGGUAGC